UUAUUAUCUUAUGCGGUAAUCAUUGAUAUUUUUCUGAGUCAGGUAUUAGUUUUAAUGUUUGUUUCUCAUAAUAUCUUGUAGGAGAUUGCCAAUGGUAAUGGUCAUGAGAAGAAGGGAAGCAAGCGACCUUUUACUGAGGAAAGGUUCCUGAUACUUCAUCUGCUCGUAGAAAUGGUGACUCCAUUGAUCCCUGAAGCUUUUAUUUUAAAGUUUUAUAUGCAUUUUUUUAUGCUUUUUGAAGUACAUUGCAAAUGUAAAUUGACAGUAUGAAUGUAAUUUGACAAUAUGAAUGUAAUUUGACAAAAUGAAUGUUUUGAUAAA